AUUGAACGCUGGCGGCAGGCCUAACACAUGCAAGUCGAAUGGUAACAGGAAACAGCUUGCUGUUUCGCUGACGAGUGGCGGACGGGUGAGUAAUGUCUGGGAAACUGCCUGAUGGAGGGGGAUAACUACUGGAAACGGUAGCUAAUACCGCAUAACGUCGCAAGACCAAAGAGGGGGACCUUCGGGCCUCUUGCCAUCAGAUGUGCCCAGAUGGGAUUAGCUAGUAGGUGGGGUAACGGCUCACCUAGGCGACGAUCCCUAGCUGGUCUGAGAGGAUGACCAGCCACACUGGAACUGAGACACGGUCCAGACUCCUACGGGAGGCAGCAGUAGGGAAUAUUGCACAAUGGGCGCAAGCCUGAUGCAGCCAUGCCGCGUGUAUGAAGAAGGCCUUCGGGUUGUAAAGUACUUUCAGCGGGGAGGAAGGGAGUAAAGUUAAUACCUUUGCUCAUUGACGUUACCCGCAGAAGAAGCACCGGCUAACUCCGUG
rnacentral:rRNA from 1 species